GGCUCAGAUUGAACGCUGGCGGCAGGCCUAACACAUGCAAGUCGAGCGGCAGCGGGAAAGUAGCUUGCUACUUUUGCCGGCGAGCGGCGGACGGGUGAGUAAUGCCUGGGGAUCUGCCCAGUCGAGGGGGAUAACAGUUGGAAACGACUGCUAACACCGCAUACGCCCUACGGGGGAAAGGAGGGGACCUUCGGGCCUUUCGCGAUUGGAUGAACCCAGGUGGGAUUAGCUAGUUGGUGGGGUAAUGGCUCACCAAGGCGACGAUCCCUAGCUGGUCUGAGAGGAUGAUCAGCCACACUGGAACUGAGACACGGUCCAGACUCCUACGGGAGGCAGCAGUGGGGAAUAUUGCACAAUGGGGGAAACCCUGAUGCAGCCAUGCCGCGUGUGUGAAGAAGGCCUUCGGGUUGUAAAGCACUUUCAGCGAGGAGGAAAGGUUGGCGCCUAAUACGUGUCAACUGUGACGUUACUCGCAGAAGAAGCACCGGCUAACUCCGUGCCAGCAGCCGCGGUAAUACGGAGGGGUGCAAGCGUUAAUCGGAAUUACUGGGCGUAAAGCGCACGCAGGCGGUUGGAUAAGUUAGAUGUGAAAGCCCCGGGCUCAACCUGGGGAACUGCAUUUUAAAACCUGUUCCAGCUAGAGUCUUGUAGAGGGGGGGUAAAAUUCCCAGGGUGUAAGCGGUGAAAUGCGU
rnacentral:rRNA from 1 species